CUGAAAAAAAUAAUAAUAAUAAUAAUAAAUAACCUCUCUCUCUCUUCUCAAACAAUCAGAUCACAUAACCUAAAAAAAACCCUAACUUUUCUCUUUAUCUCGCCUCUCUCUCUCUCUCUGUCGCACAACUCCCAGCCACCUCCGGUGACCUCGCCCACCUAUCCUUCUUCUCUCUUUCUUCCUCUCCGGCGGCCUAGACAUAUGGAGCGCCUCCCCUCUCUCUGCCCAGAUGCGCGACCUGCGCGUCGCCUCUCUCUCUGCCCAGAUGCGCGGCCAAAUCCCGUAUUGGUGGUCGAAUCUGACCACAAAAUCAAGCUCGACGCACGUAAAAAUGAAGACGCCGAAGAAGGAAAAGGCUCCUCCACCAUCAUCGAAGCCCGCUAAGUCAGGGGGAGGCAAGCAGAAAAAGAAGUUUGCAGGUGUAAGCAAAACUUCCUGGUGUAUGGUAUUGGUCUUGCUAUUUAAUUAAUGAAUGCAGCAAGAUGUCACCAUUAUUUAAAAUAAUGAUAUGUGUUGCAAAUAUAUACAAGGGAUGCUGGCUCGAUCUUAUGCGAGUUAGAUGCUGGUGAUGGAUAAAGUUGAUCUAUAAGAUUGCCCAAGAGCAAGACUACAAAAAGAAUGCAUCAGAUAUCUUUGUCAUAUUUUUACUGUUAUAUUUUUUUUUUUGGGUUUGUAGUCAUAAUUUUUUUUUUUACUGUUAUUGUAUUUUAUUUAUGUAUUUUAUUUACAUUAUACUUGUAUUUUUUUUGAAUCACCUAUUCUGUAUUAAUGCUAUUAAUUAUAAUAUAAUUAUUUUUGUGUA